CUUCACACCCCCACACCCCAUUUCCCACCAUUUUUCUUUGUUGGAAUUGGUUGUCAUUGUGCUUUUAGAAUUUCCUUUUUAAUAAACUCCCACCCAUCUUGGACUCUUUCCUGUUAGGGAAAGAUGUAUCAGAAAAAAGGGAGCUAUCCUAACCUUUAUAAAUGUUUUAAAUAAAUAGAUAAGACAUAAACAUUGUUUGACUCAGCGUUCCUGUGUGCAGUGAGACAAAAACUUCAUAACAAAGAAAGGUUAGGCUAGGUCCCUUUUCCUGACACAUCUUUUUUUGUUUUGUUUUAACAGGCAAGCAUCUAAAGUGACUGCUGGUGGACACUUACAUAGCCAUUGGCUUACCACUGAUGCCUGAUCCAUUAGGAUAGAUGGGUUGCUGCCCCACCUGUGUUCCCCUUGUGCUCAACAUCUAGGCUCACACUUUGUGUGAGUUUUUGCACGAGAGAGGAGAAGGAAGCAGCAGGAGGUCCCAGUAGGCUCUCACUCCUGACUCUGCUACUAUUGGCUGCUGUACCUUCUGCCUACUAACCGCUAAGCAUGCCAUCUUCCAAUGAGGCUUACUAUCUCAUUUGCUGUUUAUGAGAACUAAAUAGAUCUUAGCCUGGUGAGGCUUACUAUAAACUAUACUAGUUUAUGAGAACUAAAUAGAUCUUAGCCUGCGUUAUUCAGGAUGCUCUUCACCAGGGAUGGAGAGGCUUUUUUUUGCUGUUUACAUCUUCCAGAUCAUCUAACUGAUUUUCCUCAUAUUUUUGCAGAGAGUCAUUGGAGAAACAGAAAAGCCUACUAGCAAUGCAAGCUGAAGCUUAUGAAAAAGAACUUAAAAUUCUUCAUCAGGAGAAUCGCAAAAUUGUAGCACUCUCGGCAGCUGUUGUUUUGCUGGUGGUGGUGAUUUAUACCUGCUGGACAAUGUAGAAGCUUUUUUUCCCUUCACACACCCCCAAGAUGUAAUGACUUGACAUUGUUAAAUCUCUUCCUCUCCUCACCAAACUGCCUCAUCAGUGCCAUUUCCAUAUCAUUCAGACACCUCUGACUUACCACAGUCAACCAUCAUCA
rnacentral:lncRNA from 1 species